rnacentral:rRNA from 1 species
GUAGGGCUAGCACAGCUAGAGGUCACAAUCUGGUGGGAUGGUACAAUAAGCAAUCGGCAGCGGCCAAGCCGUCCACAGACUAAGUGGUUGUGGGUAGGAGACCCCUAUCUAAGAUAUAGUCGGGCCUUGUGAGCAAUCACAAGGGUUCUGCGUCCGUAGGUGAACCUGCGGAAGGAUCAUUA